rnacentral:pre_miRNA from 3 species
UCUAAUGGAUGAACAAAGAAAGUAGUUUCCUGAGAUGGAAAAUACUCUUGGUGAAGGUGCUGUGAA